CCGGGAUCAAGGAUUGGAACCAGUUGUGUUGGAGGAUCUUUUCAAGAGGAAUCCGCUUGUCUGGCUUACUUUGCAGACACGAGCAGAUCAAAUCUAUGCAUUCUGUGAAGAAAGAAGGGAGAGAUGUCAGGUCUUCAGGCUUCCAGGUUCUUUUGACAAUCUUCUGGAGCUCUUUUAGAGGCAAACGUCCAUACAGCAGGAUGAACAACAGUACUCCUAUAGAGUACACUGUUGCAGGCUUGGCGUGGAGCCUUCCACGUUUGAAAAACUCCGGAGGAGCGUAAACUCUUGUGCCUGGAAGAAAAAGCAAGGACAAAAAUUCUCCUGGACACUCUUUUGUUUUCAGUAUCGACCGUAUGAUUUGAGAAUUCAUCUUGUCACACCAAGGACAACAAUGCAAUUAAUACAGAAGGUAGGAACAUGCACUGAUGCACUCACUGAUGUUUACCUUCUCAAAAUAUUGUGGAAAACUGAUCUGGGGAAAUAAUACAGGUCCAAUAUGUUUGUUGGAUGUCAUUUUAUUACAGAACACUAUUUGUUUUACAUACCUUUUUUAAUAUUCCAAUUAUGUUACUAAAUUUGAGGAAGUGGUUUACAGUUCACUUUUAAAAUCAUAAAUACAGUUGAAGUCAGAAUUAUUUGAGGUACUCCAAUAUUGUUAGAACGCACAGAUGACUACACCCCAUUGGCCCUCACACAUUGCUGUCUCCCAAUCAAUUAGAUUUUAAAUACAGUAGAGGACUAAUUGAGUUAUUUUCCCUUUAGAUCAGAUUUAAUAUUUCAGAAGGCCAGUUCACAUUAGUGAUCAGCAGGUACUUAUUUUUGCCAAAUUAACACGAGUUUGCUGGGUUUAGAAAUGAACAUGAAAGCAGGAAAAAAUUGCUAACAAACAGAAAGAGUACACUGAAUAUGUUUCUCGUCUAUACACAUACUUUAUUAAGAAUUAUACAUAUUUUACAGAAGAAAUCUAGUCGAG